rnacentral:lncRNA from 1 species
UCCCUUCUCUCCCUUUCAUAUUAAUUUUCAAAAGAAAAUAUAAUAAUAGAGAUCAUUCAUCUCUGUCAGUCAGUAUAGUUGUUCUACUUCAGUAAGAGAGUUCCAAAGCUAUACUGAUAUCAUGAAUUUAUUGGGAAAAGGCAAGAGAAGAACAAUAGUUACCAGGACAUAAAACAAAGUUAGAUUUUUGUUUCAUUUUCUAGGUCCCCUCCCCACAUUAUACCUGGAGCAAAUCAAAUGUACUAUCAGUAAAAGUGGUUUGAAACCAAGAGUUUUGUAGUGACGCAAGAGAUUUUGAAAGUGGAAGUGUGUUUCCCUUUUUUUUCCUUCUUUAAGGGUAUAAGAAUUUAAAUUUAGGUUUUGUGCUAAAUAUGAGAAUUCAAAAGUAAUAUUGUGAUCACCGAUUUAAAAAAUAUUACAGUUUAAGUCAAAAUAACUUUUAGCACCUUUAUUUACAGAGGUGGAAAGAGUGAAAGUGGGAAUAUGUAGAUAAAGAGAAAGUAUUGCCUAGAUACCAAUAUCCUGAGUUUAAUCCUAAUGUCUGCAGACCACAAAUGCCAAUCCUAAAGUGAAUCUCACCAGAAUCCAAAAUCCUAAUUAGGAAGCCAAAAUCCAAAGAGCCAGUAGUCACUGAAGAAUCUUCUGAGAACCUUGAGUGCACACAAUGCUAAAAUGGCCAAGAAUAUCACCAGAACUCACUGAAGGGUGUGUCCCACCAAAGCACCAAUGAGCAGAGAGGGUCUCCUCACAAAAGAACCAAGAAAGGAAUCACUCCACUCACCACUGCAAGAUCCAGGGAAAGAAUCUCCUCCAUCAGUCUGGCUCACCAACACAAAGAGAAUGCAUCAGUCCUCAGGCUGGCCUUUUUAAAGCAGUUUUCUCCACAUCACUUCCUGUUGCUCCCCCACUUUAUGGGAGUCAAUUGCAGUCUUUCAAUUGCCUAGCACUGCCCAAGGGGGAUGGCAGUAGCCUCUGGAGGUUCUGUGACAUCCUUGUUCAUUUCAGAAUGGAAUGUUCCAAACACAAAAAUAAUCAGAACACUUCCCUGGGAAAGAAAAAGAAAAAGGCCUAAUACCAUGAACUUUGGGGAAAUCCUUUUGCUCGAUUGAAUUUGAUUGCCAUCAUACUAAAAGAAAUGACAGUCAUCUCUUAUAAACAAAAUAUACAGAACACAACCUCCAAACCCUUAAUUUGAAACAGAGAAGAAAAUCAACCAUCAUAUAACCCAUUUUACGUCAGAGAAAGAGAUGUGAUGUGAAAAGAGUUUCAACAGGACAACCUGACCCUGGGAGACUUCCCCCCUCCCCACUUCCUCUUGCUUGGGUGACGGACUGUGUACUAGAGAUGCUCCAACUGCACAAAUAAAAGGAGAUCAGGCCAACA